rnacentral:tRNA from 1 species
GCCCCAUUCGUCUAGUGGUCCAGGACGCCGCCCUCUCAAGGCGGAAACAGGGGUUCGAGUCCCCUAUGGGGCA